CUGUUAGUGAUGUGGACAGUCUUGAAGAAGAGACUUGAAGCGUUCCCAAGCAUGAUAAAGGUUUUCAUCAGGCUUUUAUUUAAAGCUCACUAUCUCACUACUAAGUCU
rfam:Capsicum annuum cultivar Zunla-1 chromosome 12, whole genome shotgun sequence